ensembl:snoRNA
UGUCUCUACUAAAAAUACAAAAAUGGUCCUCUUUUGCAACCCAAAACUCAUUGUUCAGUAUGAGAUUUGAUAAUAUAAGAAGGAAUAUG